GUUCCAUGACAGCUCAGUUGGUUAGAGUGUGGUGCCUGUAACGCCAAGGCUGCAGGUUCAAUCCCUGUAUGGGACG